AACGAACGCUGGCGGCAGGCUUAACACAUGCAAGUCGAGCGCCCCGCAAGGGGAGCGGCAGACGGGUGAGUAACGCGUGGGAACGUACCUUUUGGUUCGGAACAACUCCGGGAAACUGGAGCUAAUACCGGAUAAGCCCUAACGGGGAAAGAUUUAUCGCCGAAAGAUCGGCCCGCGUCUGAUUAGCUAGUUGGUGAGGUAACGGCUCACCAAGGCGACGAUCAGUAGCUGGUCUGAGAGGAUGAUCAGCCACACUGGGACUGAGACACGGCCCAGACUCCCACGGGAGGCAGCAGUGGGGAAUAUUGGACAAUGGGCGCAAGCCUGAUCCAGCCAUGCCGCGUGAGUGAUGAAGGCCUUAGGGUUGUAAAGCUCUUUUGUCCGGGAAGAUAAUGACUGUACCGGAAGAAUAAGCCCCGGCUAACUUCGUG
rnacentral:rRNA from 1 species